CCUCUCCAGCCUGCAGUCACAACUCACUGACUCCUUCCAGGAAGAACACACCUCACCAGCAGCUCCUCUCUCCGUGGACCAACAAGCCAACUGCUGAGACAUGGACCCCUGCCAGUGCAAGUGCAAAAAGCCUGAAUGCCACAAAUGUGACUCAAGCUGCUGUUGCUGCGAUUGUUGCUGCAGCAAAUGCAAGAAGAGCUGCUGCCCAUGCUGCCCACCCGGGUGCAGCAAAUGUGCCUCUGACUGCGUGUGCAAAGAGAAGACAUGCAAUUCCAGCUGCUGCUGAUGACCGUCCUGCAGCACCAGCACAUCCCUGCCGCCAUGGUGGAGCACUUUGAAUCAACAUGACCAUGAUGGAGCACUUUAUAUGAAUAUGGCCUGAUACAUUUACAUUUGUAUGGAUUAUCUAUUUUGUAUUUGGAGUGUAAAUAAACAUAUUUGAUAACUUCA